rnacentral:rRNA from 1 species
GAUGAACGCUGGCGGCAGGCCUAACACAUGCAAGUCGAACGGUAACAGGAAGCAGCUUGCUGCUUCGCUGACGAGUGGCGGGCGGGUGAGUAAUGUCUGGGAAACUGCCUGAUGGAGGGGGAUAACUACUGGAAACGGUAGCUAAUACCGCAUAACGUCGCAAGACCAAAGAGGGGGACCUUCGGGCCUCUUGCCAUCGGAUGUGCCCAGAUGGGAUUAGCUAGUAGGUGGGGUAACGGCUCACCUAGGCGACGAUCCCUAGCUGGUCUGAGAGGAUGACCAGCCACACUGGAACUGAGACACGGUCCAGACUCCUACGGGAGGCAGCAGUGGGGAAUAUUGCACAAUGGGCGCAAGCCUGAUGCAGCCAUGCCGCGUGUAUGAAGAAGGCCUUCGGGUUGUAAAGUACUUUCAGCGGGGAGGAAGGCGAUAAGGUUAAUAACCUUGUCGAUUGACGUUACCCGCAGAAGAAGCACCGGCUAACUCCGUGCCAGCCGCCGCAGUAA